AUCAAAGAUCAAAAGUUGAACCAAGCCAAUCCUACUCUCAAGUCACCCUUACAUCAAGACUCUUCAUUCCAUGUAGGAUAGAAGGCAGAUUAUUUGAGCCUCUUUCAAAGACUGUCAUGAGAGUGGUCAGGUGGCUCAGCAAAACAAAGUUACCAGUAUUUGCUUGUGAAACUGUCAAAUAUCAUUUGACUAGUGAUAGUGAAGGACAAGGGUUUAACAAUGAAA
rnacentral:sRNA from 1 species